CACGUAGGGGGCAAGCGUUGUCCGGAAUUACUGGGCGUAAAGGGCUCGUAGGCGGCCAACUAAGUCAGACGUGAAAUCCCUCGGCUUAACCGGGGAACUGCGUCUGAUACUGGAUGGCUUGAGAUUGGGAGAGGGAUGCGGAAUUCCAGGUGUAGCGGUGAAAUGCGUAGAUAUCUGGAGGAACACCGGUGGCGAAGGCGGCAUCCUGGACCAACACUGACGCUGAGGAGCGAAAGCCAGGGGAGCAAACGGG
rnacentral:rRNA from 1 species